AUUGAACGCUGGCGGCGUGCCUAACACAUGCAAGUCGAGCGGUAACAGGUAUAGCAAUACAUGCUGACGAGCGGCGAACGGGUGAGUAAUGCUUCGGAAUCUGCCCAAUGGUGGGGAAUAACCAGCCGAAAGGUUGGCUAAUACCGCAUACGUCCUACGGGCGAAAGCAGGGGAUCGUAAGACUAUGCGCCAAUGGAUGAGCCGAAGUCGGAUUAGCUAGUUGGUAGGGUAACGGCCUACCAAGGCGACGAUCCGUAGCUGGUCUGAGAGGACGACCAGCCACACUGGGACUGAGACACGGCCCAGACUCCUACGGGAGGCAGCAGUGGGGAAUCUUGCGCAAUGCGCGAAAGCGUGACGCAGCAACGCCGCGUGGGGGAAGAAGGCCUUCGGGUUGUAAACCCCUUUCAGGAGGGACGAAGGCACGGCGGUGAACAGCCGUCCGUGCUGACGGUACCUCCAGAAGAAGCCCCGGCUAACUACGUGCCAGCCGCCGCAGUAACAC
rnacentral:rRNA from 1 species